UAAUUAAAGAGUUUGAUCCUGGCUCAGAACGAACGCUGGAGGCGUGGUUAAGACAUGCAAGUCGAACGGUACGUUGUAGCAAUAUGGCGUAUAGUGGCGGACGGGUGAGUAAUAAAUAGCUAACGUACCUCGGUCUCGGGGAUACCGCCGGGCGAAAGCCCUUUGCGAAAGUGGUGUUAAUACCCGAUGACGUUUUUGGAAGGCAUCUUCCUGAAAUCAAAGGUGGGGACCGCAAGGCCUACCGGACUGAGAGCGGGCUAUUUCCUAUCAGCUAGUUGGUGAGGUAACGGCUCACCAAGGCUUUGACGGGUAGCCGGACUGAGAGGUUGUACGGCCACAUCGGGACUGAGACACUGCCCGGACAUCUACGGAUGGCUGCAGUAACGAAUCUUCCGCAAUGGGCGAAAGCCUGACGGAGCGACGCCUCGUGGGGGACGAAUUCCCUCGGGAUGUAAACCCCUUUUAGGUUUAGGAAAGUAAGGGCAGCUAAUACCUGCUUAAAUUGAUCCAGACCAGAAAAAGCCUCGGCUAACUCUGUGCCAGCAGCCGCGGUAAUACAGAGGAGGCAAGCGUUGUUCGGAAUCACUGGGCUUAAAGCGCGUGUAGGUGGUCUAGCAAGUACUUUGUGAAAUGCCUGGGCUCAACCUGGGACAUGCUUGGUAUACUGCUGGACUUGAGGCGGAUAGGGGUGCUUGGAACUCUAGGUGGAGCGGUGAAAUGCGUAGAUAUCUAGGGGAACGCCAGAGGCGAAAGCGGAGCACUGGGUCCGACCUGACACUGAGACGCGAAAGCGUAGGGAGCAAACGGGAUUAGAUACCCCGGUAGUCUACGCCGUAAACGAUGCGCACUAGACUUCUAUGUCUCUGACGGCAUGGGAGUCGAAAGAAAACCGAUAAGUGCGCCGCCUGGGGAGUACGGCCGCAAGGCUAAAACUCAAAGGAAUUGACGGGGGCUCACACAAGCGGUGGAGGAUGUGGCUUAAUUCGAAGCAACGCGAAGAACCUUACCCGGGUUUGACAUGCUAGAAUUAGCUAUGUGAAAGCAUAGUGACGCGGCUUGCCGUGGAACUAGCACAGGUGCUGCAUGGCUGUCGUCAGCUCGUGUCGUGAGAUGUUAGGUUAAGUCCUUGAACGAGCGAAACCCUUAUCGUUAGUUGCCAGCGGGUCAUGCCGGGCACUUUAGCGAGACUGCCGGUGUUAAACCGGAGGAAGGUGGGGACGACGUCAAGUCAUCAUGGCCUUUAUAUCCGGGGUUGCACACGUCCUACAAUGGGAUGGUACAGAGCGAAGCGAGACCGCGAGGUGGAGCAAAUCGCACAAAACAUCCCUCAGUUCGGAUUGCAGGCUGCAACUCGCCUGCAUGAAGCUGGAAUCGCUAGUAAUCGCGCAUCAGCAACGGCGCGGUGAAUAUGUUCCUGAGCCUUGUACACACCGCCCGUCAAGUCAUGGAAGCUGGUAGUACCCGAAGUCCGCUUAGCUAACCGUAAGGAGGCGGCGGCCGACGGUAAGACCGGUGACUGGGACUAAGUCGUAACAAGGUAGCCGUAGGGGAACCUGCGGCUGGAUCACCUCCUUU
rnacentral:rRNA from 1 species